rnacentral:lncRNA from 1 species
GGGGGCUUUGGGGUGGUCCCGGUGUGGGAUGGGGACACAGAAGUGGUCUCUUCUCCACCUCCCCGGGGGGGUGAGGGGAGCAUCGCCCCGAGCUCAGAUCAGCGUUUGGUAGGCGCUGUCCUUGGACUUGAUGAACUUGAGGAUGAAGAAGAGGACGGCCUGCACGCUGAGCACCAGCACCAUGCCGCCCACAAAGCUGGCCGUGUCGAAGCCCGGAGGCUGGAACUCGGGGCUGCCCGUCAGCGGGGCGUGCGUGGUGCUGCUCCGUGGGGAACGCGUUGCCGGCUCCCUGCUAGGGGACCGCGGUGGCUCUUUGGUGGGGGAUUUCAGUGCUGGGCACAGGGCACUGCUGUUGUAGAGCACACAUUUGUCCCGCGCAGCCGCCCCGCUGUGCAUGCAGCUCCACGUUUCCGGUGCCCCACAGCCCCCCCAGAGGCAUUCGGUGCCGUUGGGUGCCGGAGGAGCGGCGGUGCACAGCUCGCAGGACAGCAGCUCACUGCAUUCUGCGCGGGUGGCGGCGGAUCCCUGAGCGCACCGCACCGCGCACAGCACCGCGCACAGCACCGCGCAGCGCAGCGCUCCGCCGCACGGGGGGGUCAUGGCCCGGCCCGGCCCGGCCCGCUUCGUUCCGUUCGGUCCCGCGGCGGCGGCGGAGCUCCCG